CUUGAUAUUGAUAGAGAUAGGAGGAUAAGGCAUAAUUCCAAGCAACAACAGACCUCACUAGGUUUCAGGAGAAUUUACCAACAAGAAGUUAAGAUGUCCGCACCUCUGUGAAGAUUUUCUACGGAAGAUAACAUUGUUGGAUGUAAACACUCCCCACAGAAUGAAUGAAUGGAUUGGAAGGUGGGGAAAAUUGGAAAGAAGAUAGCCACUUUUGUGUUGGACAGGAUUGAUAGGUGAUUGAUAAUGGGACCUUGGCAGUGAUGGGAACCCAGUAAGCUCCUUGUGCAUUACUUUACCAGACAACCAGGAAAUUUGCUCUAGAAGUAUUUUCAAAUCUGAAAAUAAAUGGAAAAGGAACAAGAAUAAAAGUCCGAGGGCAUCGUUUUAAUUCAAAACGGUAGACAUUAACUGUAUGGGCUUACAUCUGGAGAGUUUGAGUUCUGGUGGGAAUGCCAAAUGUGACUUGGAACUGACUGGUGUAUUUUGAUACACUGAUUUGAUUACUGUUCAAGCAGUCCUUGGCAGAUAGGCUUAGUGGCAUUAAAAGCUGUAAAAACAAGGGAAUCGGUGUUAUGAGACAUGAGGCAAUACACCGCUAAAGGCGACCUCAGUCUGUGUGGGAAACGGUUCACAUUGAAGGGGUACCACGGAGCUCUCUGAAAUAACAACUGCACACACACAGUUCAAAUGUUGCAGCAGGAGUGAAAUGUUUUUGUUGGAAUAUUCAUCCCCGAUUUAUUAAACAUGGGUGGAAUGAACGUGCAUGUGUGACAUGCUCUUUUUCUUUUCUUUUUUAACAAACAUCAAGGUGGAAGGAGUCUUGUUAAUGUUGAAUAAAUUAUGAAUUUGUUGGGGUCUACACGGAUCGAAACCUCACUUGGGAAAUCUGUUGAUUGGCAAUCUGGAUGUUGAUUGGAAUCUGAGUAGUUCGAGAAAAAAUAUAUGACAAAAAAAA